ensembl:lncRNA
AAGUUUCCAGGCCCUGGACCAGAGGUGUGCUUGACCAGAAGCUGCAGCCCUAGCUGGAAAGGGUUAGCUCCUCCCAGACUUCAGGGGCUGCAUUAGUAACAAGGGUUCGCUGGUCCUCUCGCGGUAGGACAGACCCCUCCACGGAAGAGGACAGGCGUUUUCAGUCACCGUCCGGCUGCGGCUGCCCUCGCCCUCGUGCCUGCAGGGCUGGAAAAGGCCCUCUCAGAGAUUCCGGAGCUAAAGGCCUUGCUGAGGCUUCUCUGCAGGCCGAGGUCCUCGCAAAGACCGCUGCCCAAGGAUCGGAUCCAGCUCCUCCUCCGCUUUUUAAUUUCAAUACCAAAUCAGGGUGAGCGGAAGGGUACUGGCGACCCCAGCGAACUGAGCAACAACCGUGCCACCUGGAAACGCACCCAGUAAUUCCUAGAGAAUUUCCCACUCGCCGCAGGCCUAUGAACAAACCACUUGACUUCAAGGCCAGACCUAUCACCCUCUCUUCCUUGGCCCUGAAUGGAGAGCGGAAUGUGCCAAGGCUGCGCUCCCGCCCAAGCCGGGCACCCAGAAAUUAAGGCCUGAAUCGCCCCAGCUCUCGAGCAUACGCAGAAGGCGACUGUCAGGAGCGCAGGGAGGAGACGACUACCUGUCAGUUUGGCUGUAGAGUGGCCCCCAGAUGCCCCUGUGUGACAGGCUUGCUUUCCACCUGCGCCAUAUCGGGAGGCGCAGAACCUUUAGAAGGUGGGACCCAGGGGAGUCAGGUCAGGGGACCCUUGGAGGGGACACGGGGGUGCCCCGCCUCUCUGCUUCCCAGCUGCCCUGAGCCUCCUCUGCCACAUACUCCCAACCACAGGUACUGGAGGUCACAGCAGCUGUGUGUGCGUGUGUGUGUAUGUGUGUGUGUGUGUGUGUGUUUGUGUGUGUGUUUACACCUGGGGAUUGAACCCUGGGCCUACCCACUGAGCUACACCCAGCCUGCCUUUCUCUCUCGCUCUCUCUCUCCCUCUCUUUCUGUUCAAACCUGGUCUGGCUGAAUUGCCCAGGCUGGGCUCAAACUUCCAAUCCUCCUGCCUCAGUCUCCCAGAGUGUGGGAUUACACAUGCUGCUCUUUUACUCCUAAGUUAUGUAUUUAUCACGGGACAGAAAGCUCCCUAACACACUGCCCUUCAACAUACAGGAUAUCUAGACUAUUCUCAAGGCCUCUCCAUGCAACUGUGUUUGCCAAAGUAUUGGUUUAUCUAUUGUGCAAUGAAACUAAAGAGGGAUAGGUUUUAUGACCUGCAAAAAUUAUAGGAAUAGUAGGGAUCUAUCAGAAGAAGUAAUCUAAUGAGGUAAAAAAAAAUUAAGGAAAGUAAAUGUGAAAGAGGUGGUAAUGAGGUAAAGCCAAGUUGGGGCCUCCUGGACAGUGGCUCUAAACUGACACUGAUUCUGGGGCCCGAGAGAUCAUUACAGUUCACAGAUCAGAGUAGGGCCUUCUGGAGGUCACCUGGGCAGGGGAGUUUAAGUUUAGGUCGCCACACCCAGACUGUCCUCAGUGCUGCAAAGCAUGAUUGCAGUACACUCCAUGGAACCCCACAUUGGUUCCCCAAUCUGUGAAGGGGGGGGGGGACCAAUGGAAGCCAUUAAAGCUGUCUCUGCCUGGAAAGAUAGCAACUCCUAAACUACACCAUAUUCUGGAAAAGAUAGCAG